rnacentral:rRNA from 1 species
GAUCUUGAUUCAGGAUGAACGCUAGCUACAGGCUUAACACAUGCAAGUCGAGGGGCAUCGAGAGGAAAGCUUGCUUUCCUUGUCGGCGACCGGCGCACGGGUGAGUAACGCGUAUCCAACCUUCCCCUUAGUAGGGCAUAGCCCGGCGAAAGUCGGAUUAAUACCCUAUGUUUUUCCGAUGAGGACAUCUGAGCUGGAAUAAAGAUUUAUCGCUAAGGGAUGGGGAUGCGUCUGAUUAGGUAGUCGGCGGGGUAACGGCCCACCGAGCCAACGAUCAGUAGGGUUCUGAGAGGAAGGUCCCCCACAUUGGUACUGAGACACGGACCAAACUCCUACGGGAGGCAGCAGUGAGGAAUAUUGGUCAAUGGGCGAGAGCCUGAACCAGCCAAGUAGCCGUGCAGGAUGACGGCCCUAUGGGUUGUAAACUGCUUUUAUCGGGGGAUAAAGUGAGGGACGCGUCCCUUUUUGUAGGUACCCGAUGAAUAAGGACCGGCUAAUUCCGUGCCAGCAGCUGC